UACGGAGGGUGCAAGCGUUAUCCGGAUUCACUGGGUUUAAAGGGUGCGUAGGUGGGUUGGUAAGUCAGUGGUGAAAUCUCCAGGCUUAACUUGGAAACUGCCAUUGAUACUAUCAAUCUUGAAUACCGUGGAGGUCAGCGGAAUAUGUCAUGUAGCGGUGAAAUGCUUAGAGAUGACAUAGAACACCAAUUGCGAAGGCAGCUGGCUACGCGGAUAUUGACACUGAUGCACGAAAGCGCUGGG
rnacentral:rRNA from 1 species